rnacentral:rRNA from 1 species
AACGCGAAGAACCUUACCUGGGCUCGAAAUGUACGGGACAGCGGUAGAAAUACCGUCUCCUAGCAAUAGGUCCGUAUAUAGGUGCUGCAUGGCUGUCGUCAGCUCGUGUCGUGAGAUGUUGGGUUAAGUCCCGCAACGAGCGCAACCCUUAUCUCCAGUUGCUACCAUUUAGUUGAGCACUCUGGCGAAACCGCCUCGGAUAACGGGGAGGAAGGUGGGGAUGACGUCAAGUCCUCAUGGCCUUUAUGUCCAGGGCUACACACGUGCUACAAUGGCCGGUACAAACCGCUGCAACCCCGCGAGGGUGAGCUAAUCGGAAAAAGCCGGCCUCAGUUCGGAUUGGAGUCUGCAACUCGACUCCAUGAAGCUGGAAUCGCUAGUAAUCGUGGAUCAGCAUGCCACGGUGAAUACGUUCCCGGGCCUUGUACACACCGAGACGAC